GGGCUGUGUCGUUUUGUUCUUGUUGUCGUUGUUGAGAGUCAGUUUAAAGUGCUCUCUUGCACAAAAGGCAGUGCACCACAAGUCUCUUGAACAAAAGAACCUAACUGACUCUAUGUGUUUUACGAGGACAGAUUUAGAGCACUGUGUUAGUAGAGGAUCCUAUAUAUAGAGGGAGGUUGGGAGGCUUUCUGCAGUUGUCGAGGCGUCUCCCUGAAGCUGCUGAAUCACACUGACAACAGUAGCCAUGGACCUUCAAGGACUUGUACAAGCGAUCACUCUCGUCAGUGCUAUGGCCCUUUUCUUUUACGUGAACCCCAUGAACGCGCUUUGCGCCGCUCCAGUCGAGUGUGGACUGUGUAACAAUCAGUCCGAGGCCUGCUACCCGUAAGCCGACCAAGCAACGAGAACCGGAAUGUUACAACGAACUCCUUCUCAACUUUUCAAACGAUGACGACCUGGACUACUCCUUUCCUUCAAAGCUCUUUGAACUUCUUAUAAUAACCUUCUCUAAACAACAAGAAAGCAUGAUAAUCCCACACGGUGUGCUUUAAGUCUGGGAACCUUCAACUCCCACGAUGUUCGUCAGCUUUCUUCUUCUCUUCUUUUUCCCACCCCCUUUCCCGCUGUGGAUCCUUUCUCUCUGCCUACUUCUCUGUCUGUUUGUCUGUCUGUAACCCUCCCUGCCCCCACCCCGCUUUACCUUUAAAAAAACAACCCAACUCUUUUCACUGAAAAUUGACGAAGAGAAAAAUUGUUCUACACUCUCUCUGUCUUACACAAAUGCUCCAUCAACAAUGUUAUUUAUUAUGCAUGUAUGUAAAUAACCAAUACAAUCAAAUAAUUGAGUACCUUAUUAAUCGUGUACAGAAUAAAUAAUGCUCAUCUGCCGUGCAUAACUUAUGUACCAGAAUAAAACUUCACAACAUCAUCUUG